rnacentral:sRNA from 1 species
GCCGGGCGCGGUGGCUCACGCCUGUCAUCCCAGCACUUUGGGAGGCUGAGGCGGGUGGAUCACCUGAGGUCAGGAGUUCGAGGCCAGCCUGACCAACAUGGUGAAACCCCGUCUCUA